AUUGAUCUUGUAUUGGUUUAAGUCUUUUGCAUAAUUUAGGAAACAACCUAUCCUUAAUGCAAAGUCAUUCACUUGAUCAAUUGAUCAAGAUGAAUUAGAUUUGAAUCAAGGAAUGUUAAGUCUCCCUAAUCAAUGCUAACUUAUCAACCUUCAACUCAUUGAUCAAAAAAAAGAAGAAAAAAAAGAAGAAGAAGAAGAAAGAGAUGAAUAAUGGAAAAG
rnacentral:lncRNA from 1 species